AAUCCUUCUGACCUUCCAUCUCUCUUGCCUUGUGUUGAAGCUGGGGGAGAUAAAGCCUUCUUGAAACUUGCCAGGUAGAGGGGGAAUGUCCUGGCUUAGAUGGGGAAAGAGAUAGCCAUAAAUUGCUGAACUUGCAUACAGGUUUUGAUUUACUUUAUCCUGGCCAAGACAAGAAGAAAUUGUGGACUGCAGGUGUCCUAGGAAACUGGCCAAGUGUUGGCCAUCCUGUGUAUCCAGAAAGGAGUGCUGUAAGGACUUCAUGUCUUAAGUGCCUGCUCACAUGCAUUUGGGAAACAUUUCUG